UGGUCUCUUAUCCUUAUUGCAUCUGCACUUAUCUUGCAUUGUAAGGAUAUGAGAGACUUUUUUUAAAAAAAAAUGCGGGUUGUUUCUUUGUAUUUUCUAGUGAUUCUUCUGUUCUUUCUCCAAAUAUGGAAGGUUCAUUUUUGGCUGCAUUACGUUUUUUCAGUUUUAUGAUCCAUUUAUCCAUUUUUUCUUGAGCUUCUUUGGCUCCUGAUGAUCCGUUAGCAAAUCACUCUAGGGGCCAAGAACAACAGUGGGACUUGAGCUUCUUUGGCUAUUUCAUUUGGUGUUUUAGCGAGAUAAAUAGAUGAAAUUUCUUGCAACUUUGACAUAUUGGAGUGAAAUUCGCGGAGUAUUUUAUCUUCUCAAAAUUUUUGGUAUCCAGUUGAGAGAGAUCUCAGCUCAUCAUUCUAUACUAUGUACAUCCCAUGAGAAAAAUGAUCAUGGCGAUCUCUCCAUACCUCAACCCUUAAACAAAAAUGGUCCUUGAGCAUUUCAUUUCUUAAUCCAAAUAAGUUCAACGGACUGCCGACAUUGCUAUGGGGGCCUCCCCCAUCACUUAGUGUCUGCACUUUGUGGGACACAUCCUCUAUGCUCGGACAUGUAAUUGCUGUUGAUGUAUCACACAUAUUAUUACAAAAUGUAGGACAACUAACUUCGGAGUUUGAUCUUUUUAGGAAGAAGCACUACAAAUCAGAAACAAAUAAAGAGGAACAAUAGAUGUGGCCCAGCCCUAUCCGUACCCGAAUGAGGCCCGGUCCAAAUCCAAAGCCUGGUACCUAUGAAGCUGGCACGCUACCAUUCUUCCCGUGUCUUUCCAAAUCCCCCAUCAUUCUCCUACCAUGAGGUAUGCACGGCGGCGGCGGUGGCGAUGUGCAUCAGCGGCUAACCAGCUACAGGGCCGCUGCUUCGCAAUCCUCCAUCGACAGGGUCCAG